rnacentral:rRNA from 1 species
GACGAACGCUGGCGGCGUGCCUAACACAUGCAAGUCGAACGGAAAGGCCCUGCUUUUGCUGGGUGCUCGAUUGGCGAACGGGUGAGUAACACGUGUGUAACCUGUCCCUGUCUUUGGGAUAACAUCAGGAAACAGGGGCUAAUACCGGAUAGGAGCUCUUGCUGCAUGGUGGGGGUUGGAAAGUUUGGGCGGUUCGGGAUGGACUCGCGGCUUAUCCGCUUGUUGGUGUAGUAAUGGCUUACCAAGGUUUUGACGGGUAGCCGGCAUGGGAGGGUAAACAGCGUCAUGAGGACUAAGAGAGGGAGCAGUAGGCAACGGGAGGCAGUGGGGGGGAAUAUGGCGCAGUAGCGGGGAGCCUGAUGCGACGGCGCCGGGUGCGGAAUGCCGGCCUACGGGUUGUAAACCACUGUCGAAUGAGACGAGGCGGGAGUGACGGUAAUGGAUAAGGAAGCACCGGCUAACUACGUG